AAAUACACAUCCUGUAACAGUUCUGAGGAUUUAGCGGACAGGUAUAUAUUGCACGUAGUUGGUAUGAAAACUAAACUGACUUAAAGUUCUUAAGGUAUCCCUGCAAGGUACUAUGGGAUUAAUUCAGCUUUCUCAUCUUGACUCCAUUCUGUUUUUGUUUUGCAGCUGAACGUGGAGGACCCGUGCAUCAUCUGUCACGAGGACAUGAGUCCGGACGACAUCUGUGUGCUGGAGUGCAGACACAGCUUCCACGACAAGUGCAUCCGCUCGUGGCUGAAGGAGCAGAGCACGUGUCCGACCUGCAGAGAUCACGCUCUGAUGCCCGACGACUUCCCCGAGCUCUCCGGACGCAGACGCCAAGCUCCAUAACGUCAACUCUGAUUAUAUCGCACAUUUCUUAUUACCCACGUGCUUUUAUCUUCUUUCAUAUUUUUUAUUCACCAUUAAUAUCAUUUAAAACUAAUAAUGCAUGGUUGUUGUUGCAUCGUUAAUGUGUUCAAACUUAUAAUUUCUUUAAAUUUAAUAAAGCACAUGUCUUGUGUUUGAA